UCCCUCCAGAUUCCUUAACCUUCAGACCUAAAUAUUGGUCUGAGUGGUUAUAAAAGGAGGAAAAAUAUCAUUGAAACUGACUUAAUUUCUUUUAUGACACACACAAACUAAUUUCAAACACAC